GAACGGUGGCUAAUACCGGAUAUGCCGAAAGGUGAAAGGUUAACUGCCUGGAGAUGAGCUCGCGUCUGAUUAGCUAGUUGGUAGGGUAAAAGCUUACCAAGGCGACGAUCAGUAGCUGGUCUGAGAGGACGAUCAGCCACACUGGGACUGAGACACGGCCCAGACUCCUACGGGAGGCAGCAGUGGGGAAUUUUCCGCAAUGGGCGAAAGCCUGACGGAGCAAUACCGCGUGAGGGAGGAAGGCUCUUGGGUUGUAAACCUCUUUUCUCAGGGAAGAAUAAUGACGGUACCUGAGGAAUAAGCAUCGGCUAACUCCGUGCCAGCAGCCGCGGUAAUACGGAGGAUGCAAGCGUUAUCCGGAAUGAUUGGGCGUAAAGCGUUCGCAGGUGGCAUUGAAAGUCUGCUGUCAAAGAGUCUGGCUCAACCAGAUACAGGCAGUGGAAACUUCAAAGCUAGAGUGCGGUAGGGGCAGAGGGAAUUCCUGGUGUAGCGGUGAAAUGCGUAGAGUUCAGGAAGAACACCGGUGGCGAAAGCGCUCUGCUAGGCCGCAACUGACACUGAGGGACGAAAGC
rnacentral:rRNA from 1 species